rnacentral:tRNA from 1 species
GGCCUCGUGGUCUAGUGGUAUGAUUCUCGCUUCGGGUGCGAGAGGUCCCGGGUCGAUCCCGGUGAGGCCC